rnacentral:rRNA from 1 species
GAGGAAUACAUCGGAAUCUGCCUUAUCGUGGGGGAUAACGUAGGGAAACUUACGCUAAUACCGCAUACGACCUACGGGUGAAAGCGGGGGAUCGCAAGACCUCGCGCGAUAAGAUGAGCCGAUGUCGGAUUAGCUAGUUGGCGGGGUAAAGGCCCACCAAGGCGACGAUCCGUAGCUGGUCUGAGAGGAUGAUCAGCCACACUGGAACUGAGACACGGUCCAGACUCCUACGGGAGGCAGCAGUGGGGAAUAUUGGACAAUGGGCGCAAGCCUGAUCCAGCCAUGCCGCGUGGGUGAAGAAGGCCUUCGGGUUGUAAAGCCCUUUUGUCCGGAAAGAAAAGCACUGGAUUAAUACUUCGGUGUUCUGACGGUACCGGAAGAAUAAGCACCGGCUAACUUCGUGCCAGCAGCCGCGGUAAUACGAAGGGUGCAAGCGUUACUCGGAAUUACUGGGCGUAAAGCGUGCGUAGGUGGUUCGUUAAGUCUGAUGUGAAAGCCCUGGGCUCAACCUGGGAAUUGCACUGGAUACUGGCGGGCUAGAGUGCGGUAGAGGAUGGCGGAAUUCCCGGUGUAGCAGUGAAAUGCGUAGAGAUCGGGAGGAACAUCUGUGGCGAAGGCGGCCAUCUGGACCAGCACUGACACUGAGGCACGAAAGCGUGGGGAGCAAACAGGAUA